UAAAGAGAACACUGCUCCAGUUCCCUAUUCAGAGUCAAAUGAAUAAAAGCUGGAAGGUUUGUUACAGAAAAAUAACACCUGCUUAAGGAAUCCAGGGACUGACUGCAGGGAGAAGGCAACAGAAAGCCUUCAGCUUCUGGUGUGAGAAAUUGCUCAGGACUUCAAAACAGAUCUGCUGCAGAGUGCAGGUGCUGGUGCUUCGCAGAUGUGUGUGGCCUCUCUGGUCGGCCUUGUUGAAGAAAGCAACCUGUGUGCCAUCCGUGCCAACUGUGUAACAAUGGGAGAAGAGAACGUGUGUGAGACUCCACCGUGAUAUAUACGCUGUGCAGUACUGAGCUGUUUUAAAAAAUGAAAUCUUGUCUGUUACAACAAGAGGGACACAACUGGAAACCAUUCUACUCGGUGCAAUAAGGCAGUUCCAGAAAGACAGAUAUCAUGUUUUCCCUGAUCCAAGACACCUGCAACACAUACAGCUGGGCCAGGAGCUCCAUCUGGAUUGUCCGCCUGAGCAGCAGGGACCCCAGUACUUGAGUCAUCACCUGCUACCUCCCAGGUGUACAUCUGCAAGAAGCAGGAUGUGGAUCGACUAACCAGGACUGAAACAUGCAUUUCAACAUGGAUGUAUGCAUUCUAAGUGGUUACUCCACUGCAGGGCCCCACACCUACACGUCCAUGAACUUUUCCCAUGAGGCACCCUUGUAUGUGUUUAUAUAACCUACAAUGAAACUACUAACCUUUUAUGUUCCAUUGUUCUGCAUACAGAACACCUAUAAAGACUCAAAUUGAGUUAUAAAUAUACUUGUGGUGACUUGGAAUUCAAUAUUCUCUCACUGAAAUAGUCACAUAGUUGAAAACUUGGGACUUAAGGGGUUAAAGCAGGAGUGUCCAGACCCUCCUCCACGUAUCAAGGUCAGACUGCUCAGUCCUCUCCACUUACAUUUAACCAACCCCUGACCAGGUAGCCUGCGGCUUUGUGCAGCUCCUUAGUGAGUGCGCUGGCAGGUAAUCAGUGCAUCAGCGUCUAGUACCUGUCCCUCCAUCGCUUUAGACCUCAGGGAGCCCGUCAUCCGCAGCAGUCAGGGCUGGAUGCACUGCGUGCAACUGCGGUCCUCGAGGCGGGAGGCGUGGCUUGGGGGACGCCUGGCAAGCGCUGUGAAAAGGCAGGCAGAUGGUGCUUCCCAUUUAUAUGAGCGCUCUGCUCACAGCACAGCUGCUCUGAGACCACAGCAGAGGGCCAAGUGCAACGUGCUGGGCUACCAAGCUCAUCCCAGCCGACCUUAAUAAAACCGUUAAGGACAACACCGCUUAAAUGUGGGGCAAGGGUGAGAUGUGACUCCCCAAAGCCAAGUUGUGGGGCCCUGCAGAUUUAAGGGACCCCAGAGGAACUGUAUUCCCGAGACCUCUUAGGGAGGUCCUGCCAGGGCUCCAAGGACUCCUGGCUGAACUGCUCUGAGGGACAGGAGACCCCUGGGGGUUCUGUUCAAGC